rnacentral:rRNA from 1 species
CAAUAGCGUAUAUUAAAGUUGUUGCAGUUAAAAAGCUCGUAGUUGGAUUUCGGGACGGGCCAGUUGGUCCGCCGCAAGGUGUGUUACUGACUGGUCUGUUCUUCUUCGCGAAGACUGCGUGUGCUCUUCGUUGAGUGUGCGUAGGAUUUACGACGUUUACUUUGAAAAAAUUAGAGUGUUCAAAGCAGGCUAUCGCUUGAAUACAUGAGCAUGGAAUAAUGGAAUAGGACUUUGGUCCUAUUUUGUUGGUUUCUAGGACCGAAGUAAUGAUUAAGAGGGACAAUUGGGGGCAUCCGUAUUUCGUUGUCAGAGGUGAAAUUCUUGGAUUUACGAAAGACGAACAACUGCGAAAGCACUUGCCAAGAGUGUUUUCAUUAA